rnacentral:lncRNA from 1 species
GAAAAUUAUAGAUAUUAAUGGUAAAUUAUAAAUAUGACAAUUACACAAACGUUGGGAAAGAAGGAGAUACUUCCAAUAAUUUUUUUAAAAAAAAUUUCAGCCUCAAAUAACAAUUAAUAUUUUAAAUUAUUUAUUAUGUAAUGAAGUAAUUAAAAAAGAAAAAAAAUUUAUAAAUUUCAAGAUUAAAAAAAACUACGAAAAAUUGUAGUUAGUUCCGUUAAAAUAAAUUACAGAAAACCCACGCCACCUCACAGAAUUCUACUCUGUCCUCUAUCUGAUCUCACUGUCUGAUCAUUCACAUCCCCAAUUUCGUUGUUGGUUUCUCCAUUCUUCGAAUUUAAACAAAACAGAGGUUUCCUAGAGUUAAGAAUCAGUAAAAUCUCUCCAUAGCCAUAUCAAAAAGCUGGUAGGUAGUACAGUGAAAUUACGUCAGCUGUUGUAAUGUUUAUUGCAAAAGAAGAAGAAAAAGAAAAACUUGAGUGAUACGGCUAUGUAGAGAUUUUACUGAUUCCUUAGCUUUAGUAGAUAUUUAAGGGUUAGGCCAAAAUAGAGAUGGAUCCAAAAACGAAUGAUGCUAACCAGAUGAAUCUUGAUUAUAAGUUUUAGAACUUACCUGGGUGUUAGCUUGUUUGCUAUUAAGAUAAACCCAAUAUAUUUGAUCAGAUGCAGCGGCCUUAAUUUGGAAUUAUGGAGAGGUUGAGCUUGCAGAGAUUGCUAGUGCCAGCUUCUUUUGAGAUUGAACCUGGAAAUGCUGGGGAUUAUGUGUUGUUAUACAAGCGGGGGGAGACACGAAGGAGAAGAGAGCGAAGGUAGCACUUCGUAAUACCUGGGCAAUGUUUAUUCUUAUAUUCCUAUAAUCUUAAUUUUUUUACAAUUAUUUAUUUUUGAAAAAGUUUUAUUAAAUAAUUAAUUUUUAUAUUUUAAGGGCGUUUUGGAAAUUAACCCCCUAUUUACCGACUAUCCUCUCUAUAUAUGCCUAGAAACCCCUUAAUUUUAAAACUCAUCCCUGCAAUUUCUUCUUUUGAUCUCCUCCCAUGAGAGACUAGGAGAUAGAGAAGGAGAGAAAGAGCGAGUCUCGCUAAAGGUUCAUCUUUUGGGCUCUUUUGUAGGACUUCCUCUCCCUCCUCCUCUAUCCCAUGGCCACUCAUGCAAAAUAUUACUAUCUAUCCUCUCUAUUGUACCUUGAAGUCCCUUAAGUUAAAACUCAUCCCUGUAGUUUUUUUCUUUUGAUCUCCUCCCAUGAGAGCCUAGGAGACAAAGGGAAAGAGAAAGAGAGUCUUGCUAAAGUUCCAACCUUUGGGCUCUUCUUUGUAGGACUUUCUUUCUCUCCCCCUCCUGUCCCCAUAGCCCUCAUGCGAAUCCAAAAAAGAAGAUAGAGUCUCCCUCAUGACAGGCUAGGAGAUAAGAGGGAGAGGGAGAAAAGUCUUUGUUGGGUUGCUUGUGAUAAGACCAAGAAUGUGUAAAGCUAGUAUUUGGUUAUUGUCAAAGCAGAAGAAAAAAGGACAAAAACAUUUGCAGUUGAGUGGGAGAAAGGGUAAGAAAUCUUUGUGGAAUCUUGCUUCAAUCUUCUUUGCCUUGCUUUUCGUUGAUCUAUGUUCUUAUCAAGAAAGCCUUCUAAGAUGAUUACGCAUGUAGAAAAUAUUAUCUUCUUUAAAAUUUUAUUGUCUUUAAUAUUACAAAGUUUGUGAAGGUAGCACCUGGGGAGGCACGAAGAAGCACAGAAAAAGAGAAAGGAAAUGAGAGAGAAGAGAGUGAAGGUAGCCCCUGAUAGUACUUGGGUUGUGUUUCAGGACUAAGAGUGAGGAUUCUUUGCCAAAACUGGAAAUCUGCAACUCGGGAAAUGGGCAACCGAUCUAUCUCUACAAAUGGAUAGACUGGAAUUCUCCACUCUAGUCAAAUUUGACUUUCAUGGACGCAACCAUCAUUACCAUAGGCGCCACCAAACGAGUAACUCGUUUCUUUUAAUUUCUUCUUUGAGCAAGCUAGCAUGUUGCUAAUCUUCAUAGGAAAAAUACUCUAUAGCAACACUUACAGUCCUCGAUAUGGAAAUCACCUAAACUUUUCAUGCAGUCAUGGUAGUACAAAGUAACCACCUCCUGGUUUUCCGGCUCAAGAAAAGAAGUCAAACCUGGAGUUUUGAACCCCAUAUAUAGAAACUAGACUCGCAGAACACAAUGCCUAGAUGGGAGGGCAAGAGGCCUUGAUGAGAAGAAAAGAGACCUCGGUAAGAAAUUUGCAAGUACAGAUUAGUCAACUUGCCAACAUUAGAUUAGAACGUAUAGAAAUGUCCUUCUUGAGCAAUACUAAAAACAAUUCCCACAAAUAGGUAAAAGGCUAUUAAAUUGAGGUGCGAAGAAUAAUUAAAUGAACUAACCAAUGAUAAAGAACCUAAAGAGAAGCAAGAUAAGAGGCAUGAAACAACCAAGAGAACCAAAAGAAAAGAUUAUACGCUUCCUGAAAAGUAAACAAGAUAAUUAAGAUGAGCAGUUUUCUGAAGUUUCAGAUAUAUUUAUGGAAUUGCACAUCAACAUUCUUUCUGUAGCAGCUUUGUCUUAGAUGCCCAACUGUAAGGGGUAGGUACUAGAAUUUAUUAACAAGAAGAACAAAUGAUUAUGAUUGUAAAGUUCAAUAUGGAAAGUUUAGGAUGUAUCUUAUUGGUAAUAUGAAGUGUAGUACAUUUUUAUGACUAUCAUGAUUAAAUUAUCAUAUACAUAUAGUCUGAGUUGAUAUUUAGAUGUCAUUAUAAUAUUGAUAUCUCAUAUGUUUUGAAGUAGUCACAGUACGUUAACUCAUUAUAUCUGUAUUUUAUCACAUUUUUUAAGGUAAUCAUAAAAGUUAAUCAAUAACAUCUAAAAUUCUAAUUAAUUUACUGAAAUAGUUGCAAAUUUUUUUGGUGAAUACUUGAAAAACAAAUGUUGACUCGAUGUUACUAUGAAAGUUUUUUAGACCCACAAUUAAGAAGUGAUUGUUAGUGUUACUUUUGUAAGUUUUAUUAAAUAAAGAUAAAUAAAUUCUUAGGAAUGCAAUGCCCACAUGAAGGUUGAGAUUUACUUAUAUAAGUUAAAAUUUUCGGUAUAUUUUCCUCAAUUUAUAGUUAUUCUUAUUGUUAUUUUUUUUUUAUUCUCAAAUUCAAUGUAUUUGCGACAAUUUUUUCUUAAGUUACAAUGUUCAACAUUCGAAUAAAAAAUACCUUAGGUAUAAUGCUUGACAUAAAUAGAAGUGUGAAUGACAUAGUAAAGAAAUAAGGGACAUUAUUGUGCCGUGUAAUAAGGAAUAAGGUAAUACUUGCACCUAUUUAUAUUAUAAAUCUUGUUGGAGUUUCUGGUAAUACUGAGUUAGUUAAUUGAGUUAUUACAAUCCUCGUUUUUAACAAUGUUUAAAGUUUUAUAAACUUGAGAAGCUUGUAAGAAGUGAAUAAUGCAUCUAUUAUAUAAAUACACAAGUUCCUAAUUUACUGGGUACAUAUAUAUUAGAGGGUAUAACUUCUGCACAAAUGUGUAAUUAAGAUUCCAAAAUUUUAUUAUCUUCAAUUAAAUAUCAUUUAAUUAUUAAAAUUAAUAUCAUUAUUUUACUGUCAUAAGACAUGUUACA